CUUCCUCACCAUCCAUUUGCAUCUAAGCAUCUUUGGUGAUGGUUUUGGUAAGCAGGCGGCAUCUGUUUGAUGGUGUCCUUCCAGCCUCCAAGAUAGCAUCCUGUCCCUAUGGAUGCAUUCAUUAGGGUAGCUGUUACCUACUAAAUUAUCUACGUCUGCUCGUCAGGAGAAGGCAGGACAAACUGCUGAGCGAAGCCGGCAUCGCCUCACCUUCUGGCAGCCUCUGUCUGGAUCAGCUGACGCCAGGAGCCGAACUGGGGGGGAUGGGCCGGAUUCUGUGAGCUUUGCUUUAGUUGUUCACAUAAAUAAGGAUGGAGCCAUGCGAAGAAGGAGAGAGAGAGACAGGAAGAGUCAGCAGUUGUUUAUCUACAAGAAAUGGACUUGCACUAAAUCACAGGGGGCUUUCAGAACGUUCUUCACGUGGGCCCGUCUCCCCGAGUCUCUGAAGCAUGGUUCUCCCUGGGGAAACUUCUUCAUGGCUGGGCCCUUGUCGGGCCGGCCGGCGGGGUGGGUACCGGGGCAGAGCCGGGCAUCAGCUGGUCCAGGAGGGAGGUGCCUUCACGGGAACAAGGCAACAUGCUGGAAACGUUAACUGUAGAUUUACCUGUGGCAAAGCCAGCUGUCUUGACCUUCAGAUGAAGGAGAGGCCAGCUGACAGGAUAAUGAACGCUGCUUAUUAACAGGUAAGGGCAGGGGACCACAUUACCUAGGACGCUGGACCUGGAAACCUCCCCAGUGGUUCUGAGAAGAAGCGAGUGGAACGUCUUUCUCUUUUUAAAUCCUGCUCUGUUUCCACCUAUACACGCUGCAGACCGAUGUUACAAGCUGUCCAUGAGGCCUCACUAGAUGCUACUCUUAGGUUAAUCUAAGGUUUGGCUCAGUGGUUACUAAAAGUUUUAGGGGUAGUUAAAAGGAUUCAUUUCGGCUUCCCUGGUGGCGCAGUGGUUGAGAGUCCACCUGCCGCUGCAGGGGACACGGGUUCGUACCCCGGUCCGGGAAGAUCCCACAUGGCACGGAGCGGCUGGGCCCGUGAGCCAUGGCCGCUGAGCCUGCGUGUCCAGAGCCUGUGCUCCGCA